GACGAACGCUGGCGGCGUGCUUAACACAUGCAAGUCGAGCGGUAAGGCCCUUUCGGGGGUACGACGAGCGGCGAACGGGUAGAGUAACACGUGGGUGACCUGCCCUCCAGCUCUGGGAUAAGCCUGGGAAACCGGGGUACUAAUACCGGAUAUGACUCCAUGACGCAUGUUGUGGGGUGGAAAGCCUUGUGCGGCUGAGGAUGGGCCCGCGGCCUAUCAGCUUGUUGGUGGGGUGAUGGCCUACCAAGGCGACGACGGGUAGCCGGCCUGAGAGGGCGACCGGCCACACUGGGACUGAGACACGGCCCAGACUCCUACGGGAGGCAGCAGUGGGGAAUCUUGCGCAAUGGGCGAAAGCCUGACGCAGCGACGCCGCGUGAGGGAUGACGGCCUGUGU
rnacentral:rRNA from 1 species